AACGUAGGUACCGAGCGUUAUCCGGAUUUACUGGGCGUAAAGCGCGUUCAGGCGGUUUGGCAAGUCGGGCAUGAAAUCUCUCGGCUCAACCGGGAGAGGUUGUCCGAUACUUCCAGACUUGAGGGCAGUAGAGGGUGGUGGAAUUCCGGGUGUAGUGGUGAAAUGCGUAGAUAUCGGGAGGAACACCGGUGGCGAAGGCGGCCUUCUGGACGGAUACUGACGCUGAGACGCGAAAGCGUGGGUAGCAAACAGG
rnacentral:rRNA from 1 species